rnacentral:rRNA from 1 species
UUACCUUCGGGUAUUGAGGAUGGCGGACGGGUGAGUAACGCGUAAGGAACUUGCCUCUUGGUCUGGGACAACUGUUGGAAACGACAGCUAAUACCGGAUAUUAUGAGAUUCUCGCAUGGGAAACUUAUGAAAGCUAUAUGCGCCAAGAGAGAGCCUUGCGUUCCAUUAGCUAGUUGGUGGGGUAACGGCCCACCAAGGCGACGAUGGAUAGCCGGCCUGAGAGGGUGAACGGCCACAAGGGGACUGAGACACGGCCCUUACUCCUACGGGAGGCAGCAGUGGGGAAUAUUGGACAAUGGGCCACAAGCCUGAUCCAGCAAUUCUGUGUGCACGAUGAAGGUCUUCGGAUUGUAAAGUGCUUUCAGUUGGGAAGAAGAAAGUGACGGUACCAACAGAAGAAGCGACGGCUAAAUACGUGUCAGCAGCCGCGGUAAUACGUAUGUCGCAAGCGUUAUCCGGAUUUAUUGGGCGUAAAGCGCGUCUAGGCGGAAAAAUAAGUCUGAUGUUAAAAUGCGGGGCUCAACUCCGUAUUGCGUUGGAAACUGUUUUUCUAGAGUACUGGAGAGGUGGGCGGAACUACAAGUGUAGAGGUGAAAUUCGUAGAUAUUUGUAGGA